GAUCUACCCAUGGCCAGUGUGAAGCAGAGGUAAGACUCUGUGGAGGCGCGAACCCACUUAGGUUGAAAACUGAGGGGAUGAGCUGUGGGUAGGGGUGAAAGGCCAAUCAAACUCCGUGAUAGCUGGUUCUCCCCGAAAUGCAUUUAGGUGCAGCGUCGUGUGUUUCCUCCUGGAGGUAGAGCUACUGGUUGGUUUAGCGGGACUAUCAUCUUAGCGACAUCAGCCAAACUCCGAAUGCCGGUGAGGUCAGAGCACGGCAGUGAGACUGCGGGGGAUAAGCUUCGUAGUCGAGAGGGAAACAGCCCAGAUCGCCGGCUAAGGCCCCUAAGGGUGUGCUAAGUGGAAAAGGAUGUGGGAUCGCGAAGACAACCAGGAGGUUGGCUUAGAAGCAGCCAUCCUUGAAAGAGUGCGUAAUAGCUCACUGGUCGAGUGGUUCUGCGCCGACAAUGUAGUGGGGCUCAAGUACACCGCCGAAGCCGCGGCAAUCACCUUUUGGUGGUUGGGUAGGGGAGCGUCGCGUGACUGCUGUGAAGCGCUGGGGUAACCCUAGUGUGGAGUGUGCGCGAGUGAGAAUGCAGGCAUGAGUAGCGAAUGAGGAGUGGAAAACUCCUCCGCCGAAUGACUAAGGGUUCCUGGGCCAGGUUAAUCCUCCCAGGGUGAGUCGGGACCUAAGGCGAGGCCGACAGGCGUAGUCGAUGGAUAACGGGUUGAUAUUCCCGUACCCGUGUGUCCGCGCCCAUGGUGAAUCAGGGAUACUAACCCACCUGAACACGCGCCGUUUACUAGCCUUUUAGGUUGGUUGGUGUGUGUGAUGCUGGGGACCUGAACUGGUAGUAGCCAAGUGAUGGGGUGACGCAGGAAGGUAGCCGUGCCACGUGAUGGAUAUCGUGGUGUAAGCGUGUGGCCCGUGUUCUAGGUAAAUCCGGAGCACAUGUGGGUGAGGCGUGAUGCGUACCCGUUUUGGGGAAGUUGGUGAUCCUAUGCUGCCGAGAAAAGCCUCUAGCGAUGUGGAUAUACGGCCCGUACCCGAAACCGACACAGGUAGUCAGGUAGAGAAUACUAAGGCGAUCGGGAGAACUGUGGUUAAGGAACUCGGCAAAAUGCCCCCGUAACUUCGGGAGAAGGGGGGCCAUGACUGGUGACCGACGUGGUUGAGCUGGUUGUGGCCGCAGAGAAUAGAGGGAAGCGACUGUUUACUAAAAACACAGGUCCGUGCGAAGACGGGUAAGUCGAUGUAUACGGACUGACGCCUGCCCGGUGCUGGAAGGUUAAGAGGACCUGUUAGACCCUUUUGGGGUCGAAGCGGAGAAUUUAAGCCCCAGUAAACGGCGGUGGUAACUAUAACCAUCCUAAGGUAGCGAAAUUCCUUGUCGGGUAAGUUCCGACCUGCACGAAUGGCGUAACGACUUCCCUGCUGUCUCAACCACAGACCCGGCGAAAUUGCAGUACGAGUAAAGAUGCUCGUUACGCGCGGCAGGACGAAAAGACCCCGGGACCUUCACUAUAGCUUGGUAUUGGUGUUCGGUUCGGUUUGUGUAGGAUAGGUGGGAGACUGUGAUGCCUCAACGCCAGUUGGGGUGGAGUCGUUGUUGAAAUACCACUCUGAUCGUAUUGGACAUCUCAACCUCGGCCCGUGAUCCGGGUUAGGGACAGUGCCUGGUGGGUAGUUUAACUGGGGCGGUUGCCUCCCAAAGAGUAACGGAGGCGCCCAAAGGUUCCCUCAGCCUGGUUGGCAAUCAGGUGUUGAGUGUAAGUGCACAAGGGAGCUUGACUGUGAGACUGACAGGUCGAGCAGGUAGGAAACUAGGGACUAGUGAUCCGGCACCGGCUUGUGGAAGCGGUGUCGCUCAACGGAUAAAAGGUACCCCGGGGAUAACAGGCUGAUCUUCCCCAAGAGUCCAUAUCGACGGGAUGGUUUGGCACCUCGAUGUCGGCUCGUCGCAUCCUGGGGCUGGAGUAGGUCCCAAGGGUUGGGCUGUUCGCCCAUUAAAGCGGCACGCGAGCUGGGUUUAGAACGUCGUGAGACAGUUCGGUCUCUAUCCGCCGCGCGCGUAGAAACUUGAGGAAGGCUGUCCCUAGUACGAGAGGACCGGGAUGGACGUACCUCUGGUGUGCCAGUUGUCCCGCCUGGGGCAUGGCUGGUUGGCUACGUACGGAAGGGAUAACCGCUGAAAGCAUCUAAGCGGGAAGCCUGUUCCAAGAUUAGGUUUCUUUU
rnacentral:rRNA from 1 species